UUGUAUGGAUGAAAACACAAGUUUUCGCGUGAAAACCUCUUUUGUCUAUGAAAACGCAAUGCCAAAGACGGGUAAUUCAAAUUUACUAAAUAAUAAAGCACCAAAAUAAAUAAAAACACUGUCUUUCUCACUCGUUGUUCUAGUGCGAUUAUAAUUAGCAAGGGUUUAAUCAAUUUUGUGUGUUUUAUCAGAUGUUUAACCCUUAUGUUAGUAACCAACUUUACCGACGUCUUUUAGCAACGAUCUGAGUAUUAAAAAUUUUGUUUUUUUUUAUUAAAAUUAAUAGUCAGUGACAAUUUAAAGAAAAUAACAACGUAGAAACGUUAACGUCAUAUAAAACUUAUUUGGGACACCGCAGGUAGUCGGCCGGCUUUUACUUGUAUUGUUCGGAGCCGAGCAGAUGCCGUUCGAGAGAGAAAGAAAAACUCAAGGUUAUUUCUUUGUUUUCUAUCGCGCACUAGAUUCGAGCAUUUUUUAGUAUGUAAUAGAUUUUUGGUGGGAUCAGACGUGUUUCAUUUUGUGUUCUCUUGACAGUGAAAUAGAGGUAUGUAAGAAUUAUCGAGAGCUGACUAUGCUCGGUUAAGUGCAACCGAAAGGAAUGAGUACUUGAGGAAACUACUUGGAGAACACGACAGUGAUUCGAGUAGGGUUUCUGAGAGCGAUGACGAAGACUGGAUUCCAGCAAAUACAGCUAGACAUUAAAACCAACAAGGUAAUUCAGUCCGUGACGAACCAGAAGAUUCUGAAGAUGCAGAAAAAUCGCUAAAGAGAAUUCAGCAGUAGAAGAAGAAGUUGAGAGUAGCGAGAGUGAGGAUGAUGACAA